rnacentral:rRNA from 1 species
CUCCUGGAAACGGGUGGUAAUGCCGGAUGCUCCGCCCCCUCGCAUGGGGGGUCGGGAAGGCUUUUGCGGAAUGGGAUGGGGUCGCGUCCUAUCAGCUUGUUGGCGGGGCGACGGCCCACCAAGGCCUCGACGGGUAGCCGGCCUGAGAGGGCGACCGGCCACAUUGGGACUGAGAUACGGCCCAGACUCCUACGGGAGGCAGCAGUGGGGAAUAUUGCACAAUGGGGGGAACCCUGAUGCAGCGACGCCGCGUGCGGGAUGGAGGCCUUCGGGUCGUGAACCGCUUUUGAUUGGGAGCAAGCGUGAGUGAGUGUACCUUUCGAAUAAGCACCGGCUAACUACGUGCCAGCAGCCGCGGUAAUACGUAGGGUGCAAGCGUUGUCCGGAAUCAUUGGGCGUAAAGGGCUCGUAGGCGGUUCGUCGCGUCCGGUAUGAAAGCCCAUCGCUUAACGGUGGGUCUGCGCCGGGUACGGGCGGGCUUGAGUGCGGCAGGGGAGGCUGGAAUUCCCGGUGUAACGGUGGAAUGUGUAGAUAUCGGGAAGAACACC